UACGUAGGGUGCGAGCGUUGUCCGGAUUUAUUGGGCGUAAAGAGCGUGUAGGCGGCCAGACAGGUCUGCUGUGAAAACUCGAGGCUCAACCUCGAGACGCCGGUGGAAACCGUCUGGCUAGAGUCCGGAAGAGGAGAGUGGAAUUCCCGGUGUAGCGGUGAAAUGCGCAGAUAUCGGGAAGAACACCCGUGGCGAAGGCGGCUCUCUGGGACGGUACUGACGCUGAGACGCGAAAGCGUGGGGAGCGAACAGG
rnacentral:rRNA from 1 species